CCAGUGUCAGUAUCGAUGCAGGAAGCCGCCUUCGCCACUGGUAUUCCUUCAGAUAUCUACUCAUUUCACCGCUACACCAGAAAUUCUACCUCCCUCUAUCGUACUCUAGUCAGACAGUUUUGGAUGCAGUUCCUAGGUUGAGCCCAGGGCUUUCACAUCUAACUUAACAAACCACCUACGCGCGCUUUACGCCCAGUAAUUCCGAUUAACGCUUGCACCUUCCGU
rnacentral:rRNA from 1 species